rnacentral:rRNA from 1 species
ACGGAAGGCAGCAGUGGGGAAUAUUGCACAAUGGGGGAAACCCUGAUGCAGCGACGCCGCGUGAGUGAAGAAGUAUUUCGGUAUGUAAAGCUCUAUCAGCAGGGAAGAAAAUGACGGUACCUGACUAAGAAGCCCCGGCUAACUACGUGCCAGCAGCCGCGGUAAUACGAAGGGGGCAAGCGUUAUCCGGAUUUACUGGGUGUAAAGGGAGCGUAGACGGCGAUGCAAGUCUGAUGUGAAAGCCCGGGGCUCAACCCCGGCACUGCAUUGGAAACUGUGUUGCUAGAGUGCAGGAGAGGUAAGUGGAAUUCCUAGUGUAGCGGUGAAAUGCGUAGAUAUUAGGAGGAACACCAGAGGCGAAGGCGGCUUACUGGACUGUAACUGACGUUGAGGCUCGAAAGCGUGGGGAGCAAACAGGAUUAGAUACCCUGGUA